CUUCCAGUAGCACCUUAGAGACCAACUAAGUUUGUUAUUGGUAUGAGCUUUCGUGUGCGUGCACGAAAAAUGCUCAUACCAAUAACAAAUUUAGUUGGUCUCUAAGGUGCUACUGGAAG
rnacentral:miRNA from 1 species